rnacentral:precursor_RNA from 1 species
CACACGGCGCGGCCCGAGGAGCCGCCGUGUCGGCCCCGGGUUUCUGGGAACCGGUUUUGCUGCU